rnacentral:rRNA from 1 species
AUUGAACGCUGGCGGCAGGCCUAACACAUGCAAGUCGAGCGGAUGAAGGGAGCUUGCUCCUGGAUUCAGCGGCGGACGGGUGAGUAAUGCCUAGGAAUCUGCCUGGUAGUGGGGGAUAACGUCCGGAAACGGGCGCUAAUACCGCAUACGUCCUGAGGGAGAAAGUGGGGGAUCUUCGGACCUCACGCUAUCAGAUGAGCCUAGGUCGGAUUAGCUAGUUGGUGGGGUAAAGGCCUACCAAGGCGACGAUCCGUAACUGGUCUGAGAGGAUGAUCAGUCACACUGGAACUGAGACACGGUCCAGACUCCUACGGGAGGCAGCAGUGGGGAAUAUUGAACAAUGGCGAAAGCCUGAUCCAGCCAUGCCGCGUGUGUGAAGAAGGUCUUCGGAUUGUAAAGCACUUUAAGUUGGGAGGAAGGGCAGUAAGUUAAUACCUUGCUGUUUUGACGUUACCAACAGAAUAAGCACCGGCUAACUUCGUG